UGGGGAAUAUUGGACAAUGGGCGCAAGCCUGAUCCAGCCAUGCCGCGUGAGUGAUGAAGGCCCUAGGGUUGUAAAGCUCUUUCACCGGUGAAGAUAAUGACGGUAACCGGAGAAGAAGCCCCGGCUAACUUCGUGCCAGCAGCCGCGGUAAUACGAAGGGGGCUAGCGUUGUUCGGAUUUACUGGGCGUAAAGCGCACGUAGGCGGACUUUUAAGUCAGGGGUGAAAUCCCGGGGCUCAACCCCGGAACUGCCUUUGAUACUGGAAGUCUUGAGUAUGGUAGAGGUGAGUGGAAUUCCGAGUGUAGAGGUGAAAUUCGUAGAUAUUCGGAGGAACACCAGUGGCGAAGGCGGCUCACUGGACCAUUACUGACGCUGUGGUGCGAAAGCGUGGGGAGCAAACAGG
rnacentral:rRNA from 2 species